AACUUCAAAACCAUAACUACAUCUCAGUAAUUAAAUUAUAUUUAAACUCAACACAGCUUGGCUGUUAUAUUGAAAAACAAAAUAAAAUAUAUAA
rnacentral:miRNA from 1 species